AGAGCGAACGCUGGCGGCAGGCCUAACACAUGCAAGUCGAGCGGCCGUAGCAAUACGGCAGCGGCAGACGGGAGAGUAACACGUGGGAACGCGCCCUUCGGUUCGGAAUAACUCAGGGAAACUUGGGCUAAUACCAGAUACGCCCUUACGGGGAAAGAUUUAUUGCCGAAGGAACGGCCCGCGUCCGAUUAGCUUGUUGGUGAGGUAACGGCUCACCAAGGCGACGAUCGGUAGCUGGUCUGAGAGGAUGACCAGCCUCACUGGGACUGAGACACGGCCCAGACUCCUACGGGAGGCAGCAGUGGGGAAUAUUGGACAAUGGGCGCAAGCCUGAUCCAGCCAUGCCGCGUGGGUGAUGAAGGCCCUAGGGUUGUAAAGCCCGUUUCGGCGGGGAAGAUAAUGACGGUACCCGCAGAAGAAGCCCCGGCUAACUUCGCGCCAGCAGCCGC
rnacentral:rRNA from 1 species